UUAACUGAAGCCAAAGGAGAGGCAUAUCACUGUUAAUGAUAAGACUGAAUUAAAUUCCAGUUAAGA
rnacentral:tRNA from 1 species